rnacentral:sRNA from 1 species
GCUGGGCAUGGUGGCGCAUGCCUGUAAUCCCAGAAGCUUGGGAGGCUGAGUUCAAAGCCAGCCUCAGCAAAAAAGCAAGGCGCUAAGCAACUCAGU